UAGAUUGAUCUGUGACUACAACCGUGUCAAUACUAUUAACAACCAUCUCUGUCACAUCACGUGGCGUUACGUCAGAUUUGUCGCCUGCUACUCUGACGUCAAUGGUGUCCUGUAACACAGGAGUAGCCUUCAGGUCCAGCACACCCUCAUACAGGACGCCUAUCUCACCCAGCUGUAGAUCGUCCAGAGAUUUACUCAGCUUAUCCGUGUCCUGUCUGAAUGUGACCUUGGUUAUUCUUCCUCUCUCCUUCAGUUCUGCGUCUCCGACAGCCUCCACAUCACCCGCCGCACAUCCCUGAUACAUCUCAUACACAUCCAUGUCACACUCAGAUUGUAGAGCCUGGUCUAUCAGCUCAGCCUGUUGUUGGUACAUCUGUA